GACGUAGGGGGCCAGCGUUGCUCGGAAUUACUGGGCGUAAAGAGUCUGUAGGCGGUGCGGCAAGUCGGGAGUGAAAUCUCAGGGCUUAACUCUGAGUCUGCUUUCGAAACUGCCGUGCUCGAGUGUGGGAGAGGUGAGUGGAAUUGCAGGUGUAGCGGUGAAAUGCGUAGAUAUCUGCAGGAACACCAGAGGCGAAGGCGGCUCACUGGACCACAACUGACGCUGAGAGACGAAAGCUAGGGGAGCAAACAGG
rnacentral:rRNA from 1 species